rnacentral:rRNA from 1 species
UACGUAGGGUGCGAGCGUUGUCCGGAAUUACUGGGCGUAAAGAGCUCGUAGGCGGUUUGUCGCGUCGUCCGUGAAAACUUGGGGCUCAACCCCAAGCUUGCGGGCGAUACGGGCAGACUUGAGUACUGCAGGGAGGACUGGAAUUCCUGGUGUAGCGGUGAAAUGCGCAGAUAUCAGGAGGAACACCGGUGGCGAAGGCGGGUCUCUGGGCAGUAACUGACGCUGAGGAGCGAAAGCGUGGGUAGCGAACAGG